CCACCGUGCCCCGCCUAUUCUUCUUUUAAACCAAAAAAACUUUCAGAGGGUGUUUUCCCCGACGAGGAUGUUCCUGGCGGCCAGGUCCCGGUGGAUGUAAUUCUGCGACUCCAGGUAACACAUGCCCUCAGCCACCUGCCAGGCGAUGUCCAGCAGCUCCGAAACGGGCAGGACUUUCUCAUCAGAGUCUGCAGAGGGGAGUGGAGCAGAGCCUGGGGUCAGCUGAGCCAGCUGAGGUGGGGAAGGGUUGGGGAGGCUGGGCCAUGUCUCAUCUGCCUCCAAGCUCUGCGGGCUCAGAGGAGGGGCCGGGGCAAAGGGCAGCUGGCCUGAUUGAAAAUUGGAACUGCAGGCCAGCUACCGCCCUUCUGGAAGGCAACUGUUUAUCACGAACCAAGGAGCAAGCUGGGCGUGGUGGCUCACGCCUGUAAUCCCAGCACUUUGAGAGGCUGAGGCGGAUGGA
rnacentral:lncRNA from 1 species